rnacentral:rRNA from 1 species
AGUAACGCGCAGGAAUAUGCCUUAUAGUGGGGGAUAACCUAGGGAAACUUAGGAUAAUACCGCAUGAUACUUAAGAGUUAAAGCAGGGGACCGCAAGGCCUUGCGCUAUGAGAUUAGCCUGCGUCUGAUUAGCUUGUUGGUGGGGUAAAGGCCUACCAAGGCGAUGAUCGGUAACUGGUCUGAGAGGACGACCAGUCACACUGGGACUGAGACACGGCCCAGACUCC